AUUGAACGCUGGCGGCAGGCCUAACACAUGCAAGUCGAGCGGUAGAGAGGUGCUUGCAUCUCUUGAGAGCGGCGGACAGGUGAGUAAUGCCUAGGAAUCUGCCUGGUGGUGGGGGAUAACGUUCGGAAACGGACGCUAAUACCGCAUACGUCCUACGGGAGAAAGCGGGGGGAUCUUCGGACCUCGCGCCAUUAGAUGAGCCUAGGUCGGAUUAGCUAGUGGUGAGGUAAUGGCUCACCAAGGCGACGAUCCGUAACU
rnacentral:rRNA from 1 species